AGCGAACGCUGGCGGCAGGCCUAAAACAUGCAAGUCGAACGCCUGUAGCAAUACAGGAGUGGCAGACGGGUGAGUAACACGUGGGAACGUACCCUUUGGUUCGGAACAACACAGGGAAACUUGUGCUAAUACCGGAUAAGCCCUUACGGGGAAAGAUUUAUCGCCAGAGGAUCGGCCCGCGUCUGAUUAGCUUGUUGGUGAGGUAACGGCUCACCAAGGCUGCGAUCAGUAGCUGGUCUGAGAGGAUGAUCAGCCACACUGGGACUGAGACACGGCCCAGACUCCUACGGGAGGCAGCAGUGGGGAAUCUUGCGCAAUGGGCGAAAGCCUGACGCAGCGACGCCGCGUGAGGGAUGACGGCCUCGGUUGU
rnacentral:rRNA from 1 species